GGCUUAUUGAGCGGAUUCUGACCGCGUGCUAGGCGCCGCGGUGGCUAUAGAGACUUGGAAGAGCCGGGCUCUUCCCUCAAGGGGCAACCCUCCCAACUGCCGCUUUCAAUAAGCCUCGUACUUGUGUUUUUUCAUUUGUCCAGGUUCAUUUUGACAAAGGUUAUGUUUAUGAAGAUUCGCAACCAUUUUCGUCUGCUUGUUAACCCCACACGAUAGAUGAGAACUGAGAGUCGGGCUGCCUCUUGGGAGGAGAAACAGGUGACAGCAAUACUUAACAUGGAGUACAUGGGUUUCAGAAGUUCGUGGACCUCCUAAAAUUAUGGACAAUAUUUGUAGGUGUAAUACAUGAGUCUGGAAAUGAAGAAGUGGAAGUAGGAAUGACCCUGCUUUGUGCAUCCCAUCCCCUCAACUCUGGGCUCUAUGAGUUUAGAAAUCCUGGUUUCCAAAGGGGAAUGCUUCCACCAAGAGACACAACAGGAGUCCCAUUGAACUUCAAGCUACAGUUGCUGCCUGAGCAUUCAGACUCCUAUGUCGAGAGAUCAGCAGACAUGAAGAGAAGUCACCAUCUUGGCGGGGGUAGUAGACCCCAAUAAUCAGCAGGAAGUUGGGAUUCUGUUACACAGUGAGAGCAGAAAGGACCAGGUUUGGCACCCAAGCAAUCCACUUGGGUAUCCCGUGGUGCUUCCUUACGUGAUUUUGUAAAUGGAUAAGUACAUCAACCACAGCUUAAAAAGAGUAUUGGUACCAGGGCCCAAGAUCCCUCAGGUAUAAGGGUCUGGGUCACCUCACCGGGUAAACCACCUAGACUAGCAGAGGCACUAACUGAGGAUGAGAGGAAUCUAUGUUUGGAUAGUAGAAGCCAGAGACAAUGAGUAUAGUUGGGGCCUCAAGAUCAGCUGCAGUGGUGGAGGCUGUAUUUGGUCCCACUCUUCUCUCCUUACAAGCUUCCCUCAGGAAAAGAGGCCCACCAGAACCUGGAAGGCCUGUGUCCGCUUACACAACUAAGUGAUUCCAAAGGGCACAAAAAGUGGACUGUAGAGGACACAGUGAUUCACUUCCCAUAUGGGAAGUGAAGGACUCAUUCCCCCAAGCCACUGGGACUUUUCUCUAAGAAGCUUCCUCAGCUGAAGAGAGCGAUUUUGCCCGAGGUCACUUCUCAGGAUAGCUUGCAUCCAAAGACUGGUUGAUAUUGUGGUAUAAAGGCCUGGCCACCUCACUCCAACUCAGGACACCUCCGAAGUGCUAACCUAGCUUCAGAGCUCCUCAUGGAAUUGGUUGAAGCAUUUGUUGAAACUGCAUCAGAGCCCAACUUCUCCCUCUCCCCAAUCCUGCUACCUUUGCUUUCCCACAUGUGUUGAUCCUGAGGGCACUCUCAUAAACGUCCUGCGCGCCAACCUCCAUCUCACAGCCCACUUCCUGGGAACCCCACCCUGAAACAAUGCCCAUGUGUACAUACAAAAUUUCUGGAAGAAUACACAAGAAGUUGUUAAAUGUAAUUAUCGCAGAGUAGUAGGACUGGUGGUUGGGGAUUAUGGGAAGAAGACCGUUUCUUUUUUAAUAAAAAAAUAUUAAGUAUGAUUAUUAGUGAAAGCUAACAAAGAGUCAAAGAAAAAAAAGAGGGAGAUUUUACUUCACUUUCUUUUCUUCCUAGAUUGCUCUGCUGCCACAUGGUAAGCAAUCUAAAAUUUAUUGAAGUAAAUUAUUUUUAUCCCUUGGGAAAAAGCACACUAUAGUGCCACUGCUAAAACAUCACAGUGUGCCCCAAAAGAAAAAUGGACAAAUAUGAACAGACAAUUCACAAAAAAG
ensembl:lncRNA